rnacentral:rRNA from 2 species
AGUCGAACGAGCUCUGGUAUUGAUUGGUGCUUGCAUCAUGAUUUACAUUUGAGUGAGUGGCGAACUGGUGAGUAACACGUGGGAAACCUGCCCAGAAGCGGGGGAUAACACCUGGAAACAGAUGCUAAUACCGCAUAACAACUUGGACCGCAUGGUCCGAGCUUGAAAGAUGGCUUCGGCUAUCACUUUUGGAUGGUCCCGCGGCGUAUUAGCUAGAUGGUGGGGUAACGGCUCACCAUGGCAAUGAUACGUAGCCGACCUGAGAGGGUAAUCGGCCACAUUGGGACUGAGACACGGCCCAAACUCCUACGGGAGGCAGCAGUAGGGAAUCUUCCACAAUGGACGAAAGUCUGAUGGAGCAACGCCGCGUGAGUGAAGAAGGGUUUCGGCUCGUAAAACUCUGUUGUUAAAGAAGAACAUAUCUGAGAGUAACUGUUCAGGUAUUGACGGUAUUUAACCAGAAAGCCACGGCUAACUACGUGCCAGCAGCCGCGGUAAUACGUAGGUGGCAAGCGUUGUCCGGAUUUAUUGGGCGUAAAGCGAGCGCAGGCGGUUUUUUAAGUCUGAUGUGAAAGCCUUCGGCUCAACCGAAGAAGUGCAUCGGAAACUGGAAAACUUGAGUGCAGAAGAGGACAGUGGAACUCCAUGUGUAGCGGUGAAAUGCGUAGAUAUAUGGAAGAACACCAGUGGCGAAGGCGGCUGUCUGGUCUGUAACUGACGCUGAGGCUCGAAAGUAUGGGUAGCAAACAGGAUUAGAUACCCUGGUAGUCCAUACCGUAAACGAUGAAUGCUAAGUGUUGGAGGGUUUCC